UAAUAAUGAUAUAUUAGAUUGUAUUUCAACUUCAACAUUACACUAAUGAAGACAAUUGUCGAUGUAUAUAUACAUUGGCAUGUUGCUGCUUCUAAUCAUAUCAUUCUUAUCAACAAUCGUCUUUCAGUAAGUUGUGACUCCAUUCAUGGCUAUAUCUAAGUACUUGCUACUGAGUUUAGCAAUCGUGUUUAUAGUGAGUACGACUUCAACUGCUAGAAUUCUGAAUGAAGGAGGUAACAAGAAUGAAAAUGGAUCAAAGUUACACGGUGCUUGUAAUUCACAAGGAAAUGGUAUAAAGAAUUGUGAAUCUUCAGAACCUUCUCUAGCGAGCCCUCUAUCCCCGGAGUCUUCUCCACCCCCACCUGAUGUUCCGGAGUCUUCUCCACCUCCACCUGAUGUUUCAGAGUCUUCUCCACCCCCACCUGAUGUUCAGGAAUCUUCUCCACCCCCACCAUAUGUUCCAGAGUCUUCUCCACCCCCACCAUAUGUUCCGGAGUCUUCUCCACCCCCACCUUUUGUUCCGGAGUCUUCUCCAACAAGCAAUGGAUCUGGUUCGGGUAGUGGAUCUGGUUCAGGUAGUGGAUCUGGUUUAGGAAAUGGAUCUGGUUCGGGUAGUGGAUCAGGUUCAGGAAGUGGAUAUGGUUCAGAAAAUGGUGGAUAUUCUUCUCCAUCCCCAGCUAAUGUUCCGGAUUCGUCUCCACCCCCACCAUAUGUUCUGGAGUCUUCUCCACCCCCACCUUUUGUUCCGGAGUCUUCUCCAACAAGCAAUGGAUCUGGUUCGGGUAGUGGAUCUGGUUCAGGAAAUGGAUCUGGUUCGGGUAGUGGAUCUGGUUCAGGAAAUGGAUCUGGUUCGGGUAGUGGAUCUGGUUCAGGAAGUGGAUAUGGUUCAGGAAAUGGUGGAUAUUCUUCUCCAUCCCCAGCUUAUGUUCCGGAUUCGUCUCCACCCCCACCAAAUGUUCCAGAAUCUUCUCCACUACCACCUUAUUUUCCAGAGUCGUCUCCAUCCCCAUCUUUUGUUCCAGAGUCUUCUCCAACGAGCAAUGGAUCUGGUUCGGGUAGUGGAUCUGGCUCAAGAAGUGGAUAUGGUUCAGGAAAUGGAUCUGGUUCAGGCAGUGGAUCUGGUUCAGGAAGUGGAUCUGGUUCAGGAAGUGGAUCUGGUUCAGGCAGUGGAUCUGGUUCAGGCAGUGGAACUGGAUCAGGAAGUGGAUCAGGUCCAGGAAAUGGAUCCGGUUCAGGAAGUGGAUCUGGCUCAGGAAGUGGAUAUGGUUCAGACAAUGGAUCUGGUUCAGGAAGUGGAUAUGGUUCAGGAAGUGGAUCUAGUUUAGGGAAUAACUGUCCCCAAAUAAGCCCUUCCUCGAUCCCAUUUAUGGUUUCCGAUUCUCCUUCAAUGAGUCCUCUCCCACCUAAUGUUUCAGAAUAUGGUUCAGACAAUGGAUCUGGUUCAGGAUAUGGAUCUGGUUCAGGUAGUGGAUCUGGUUCAGGCAAUGGGUCUGGUUCAGGAAGUGGAUAUGGUUCAGGAAGUGGAUCCGGCUCAGGUGGUGGAUCAGGUGCAGGAAAGUGGAUCCGGCUCAGGAGGUGGAUAUGGUUCGGCCAAUGGAUCCGGUUCAGGAAGUGGAUCCGGCUCAGGUGCAGGAAAUGGAUCCGGCUCAGGAGGUGGAUCUGGUUCAGGAAGUGGAUCCGGCUCAGGUGCAGGAAAUGGAUCCGGCUCAGGAGGUAGAUCUGGUUCAGGAAGUGGAUCCGGCUCAGGUGGUGGAUCUGGUUCAGGAAGUGGAUCCGGCUCAGGUGAAGGAAAUGGAUCUGACUCAGGAAGUGGAUCUGGUUCAGGAAGUGGAUCUGGAUCAGGUGGUGGAUCAGGCGCAGGAAAUGGAUUCGGCUCAGGAGUUGGAUCUGGUUCAGGCAGUGGGUCCGGCUCAGGUGGUGGAUCGGGUACCGGAAAUGGAUCCGGCUCAGGAGGUGGAUAUGGUUCAGGCAAUGGAUCUGGUUCAGGAAGUGGAUCCGGCUCAGGUGGUGGAUCAGGUGUAGGAAGUGGAUCCGGCUCAGGAGGUGGAUAUGGUUCAGGCAAUAGAUUUGGUACAGGAGGUGGAUAUGGUUCAGGCAAUAGAUUUGGUACAGGAAGUGGAUCCGGUUCAGGUGGUGGAUCAGGUGUAGGAAGUGGAUUCGGCUCAGGAGGUGGAUAUGGUUCAGGCAAUGGAUCUGGUUCAGGAAGUGGAUCCGGCUCAGGUGGUAGAUCAGGUGUAGGAAGUGGAUCCGGCUCAGGAGGUGGAUAUGGUUCAGGCAAUGGAUCCGGCUCAGGACGUGGAUCUGGUUCAGGUAAUGGAUCUGGUUCAGGAAGUGGAUCCGGCUCAGGUGGUGGAUCAGGUGUAGGAAGUGGAUCCGGUUCAGGUAAUGGAUCUGGUUCAGGAAGUGGAUCCGGCUCAGGUGGUGGAUCAGGUGUAGGAAGUGGAUCCGGCUCAGGAGGUGGAUAUGGUUCAGGCAAUGGAUCCGGUUCAGGAAGUGGAUUCGGCUCAGGAGGUGGAUCAGGUGCAGGAAAUGGAUCCGGCUCAGGAUGUGGAUCUGGUUCAGGAAGUGGAUCUGGUUCAGGUGGUGGAUCAGGUGCAGGAAAUGGAUCUGGCUCAGGAGGUGGAUAUGGUUCAGGGAAUGGAUCUGGUUCAGGAAAUGGAUAUGGUUCAGGAAGUGGAUCUGGCUCAGGAGGUGGAUAUGGUUCAGGCAACGGAUAUGGUUCAGGAAGUGGAUCUGGCUCAGGAGGUGGAUAUGGUUCAGGAAAUGGAUAUGGUUCAGGAAGUGGAUCUGGCUCAGGAGGUGGAUAUGGUUCAGGAAAUGGAUCCGGUUCAGGAAAUGGAUAUGGCUCGGGCAGUGGAUCUGGCGAAGGUGGUAGUAUUGGUGGAAAUGGUUAUGGUAUUGGCCAGGGUUUUGGAUAUGGAUCUGGAAUUGGAAAUGGACUUGGUGGUAGUUGUGGUUACAAAGGUGGUGUUGAUUGUGGUAUUGGCAAUGGAUUUGGUAGUGGCUCAGGUUCUGGAUCUGGUACUGGCUAUGGUACAAAUAGUGGAGGUGGUGGCAGUGGAAAUGGGAUUGGAUCGGGUAGCGGUUCGGGCUAUGGAUAUGGUAAUGGUUCUGGUUAAAAUGGUGGUACAUAUGAUGGUUGAAGAUUGUAAAUCUUCAAUGGAUCAAAAUAAAACGGAAUCAUUAAUGAUACCUACAUAUAUAGUACAAUAAAUAGAUUCCUAUUAUGGAUUCUAAUAUUUCAAAUAAAACAUAUUACAUUCAAUAUUUUUUAAAUAUAUUAUUUUUUCUAAUGUGAUCAAUUUCAUUUUUUGAAUAAAAAACUUGGAUUUAUAGCAUAAUGGCAUUGUAAUGAUUAUGAUCAAAAUCAAGAUUUGAACAAGAUUAAAAGUAGAAGCUAAAAAUGAAAAAAUUAUUUAUGAUCUUGAAUUGAAGAAAAAAUGAAAGAAUAAGAUUAAAAUAUUGAUUCUGAUUUUCAACAAUCAAGAUAUUAAGAUCGGAUCAAGAAUGAAGAUCUUAAGAUUUUCUUAGGCAUAUCGUGAUUGUUGAAAAGUGUUAGGGAUCAAAUUAUAAAUCAUUGUUCAAAGUAAUUAAGAAUCAGAAUCAAGAUUUUGAUCAUUCUCACACUUUAUUUUUUUUCUUUCUUUAAUUCAAGAUUCGACCCAACAAUUAUAUUGAAAAAUCAAGCAUUAACAAUGAUAAUUUCAGUUUAAUGCAUAAUUUUUUUCAAUUAUUUACUAAAAAGAAGAGGAAAAUGAAUUAAAACUUCAAAAAUCAACGAAUGUAAUCUUGAAAAAUCAACUUGAAAAAUAAAUAAGUUGAAUUUCUCAAUUCAUGUAUGGUUAUGACUUAUGAACAUCCCAAUAUUUAUGGCUAAUUAUCAAUUUGAUAUAUUUUUCAGGUCACUGUCUAAUUCAAAGUCGUUGUUGUUAUUCUUGAUUCAUGAAUACUUUCAUCCUUGCUAAAUAUCUGCUUCCAAAGGACUUCUCAGAUCGUAUAAGGAAACUCAGAUUUGGUCAUUUUUUGAAAAUUAUCGAAGUCGUUGUUAAUCCAUUUCAGUUGGACGGACGACUUUGUGGGCAGAUACAUUGGAGACCACAAGUUUGCUAUAAAAAACAAAAUGCGGAAUGUAAGUGAUAAUUCUGUCCAAAUUAAUUACUUUUCAUUCUCAUAAUUAUUAUUUUUAUAAACGAGGGUGUUUCUUAAUUUGGGAGCAACGUUUCGAAUAUUAACCUAUGUUUCUUGCAUCUUCACCAAGAAACCAUAAAAAUUUCAACGUUACGAAGGAUGUUCGAAAAGGAAGGAUCAGGCAAUCUCCUCUCUUUCAGAUAAACAGGUAAUCCGAUUCAAAUUUAAAUAUUUUAGGAAAAUCGUAAAUUGAUUUUUUUUAAUGUUAUAGGUUACUGAUAAAGCUCUGUCGUACAAAUUGGACACCCCGCCUCCUAUGAUAUUUUGGAUAAUGUUAUGAUUUUUAAAUUAUGUUUUCUACCUUGCAUGCUUUUAAAUUAAGUUAUAUUUGUUGGAUCGUGAUCCGAAACUAUAAGAGGGGGUCAGUAGUCUUUUUUUCAUGUAAUGCAGAUUUUAGCGAAAAUAUUUUCAAUAACACUAAAUAAUAAUAAUAGUAAGAAAAUAAUAUCAAUAUCAAUAACAAUAUAAUAAUAUUAUUAUAUAAAUAUAUAGCUUAGUAAAAAUCAACAGGUUUCUUAAGCAUCUGAUAACAAGUCACAAGUCGAUGACUUAAAAUGUAAAUGACCUCUUGAGCACCUGAUAACAGGUUGAUGACUUAAAUGUAAAUGACUUAAAAGUAAAUGACCUCUUGAGCACUUGAUAACAGGUCGAAGGCUUUAUAGUAGUUUUAAGAUAAAUAUAAUAUAUCUAUAGGUUUAAAAUCGAAUGUGAUAUAAAAUAUAAGUAAUCGAUUUAAUGCUUGAUUAAAAGCUAAAAAUUUAAAUAAAGCAAUGAACACAAAGAGAUUUAUACUGGUUCGGUCUCAACUGAUCAACCUACUCCAGUCUCGUGAGCUUGUUUCACGAAAUUCACUAGCCUAAAUGUAUUGGUAGACUUAUAAAAACUUUUAAAGGCAGCAACGCUCAAAAACCUUGUGUAAACUUUUCAAGAUUAUAAUACUUACGAACCUCUCUUAAGCUUUAAGAACCUCUCAAAUUUUAAAGUAAACUUGCAAUUAUCCCAAGUCUUGUAAUUAAGGUAGACUUAGCACCUAAAAGUUUUUUCGAAAACUCUAUAAAAUUAAACUUAGAGCUUUAUAAAUUAACUCAAAAACCCUCCUUACACUUUGGUGACCUUGAGACAACCCUCUCAACCAAAGUGAAACACACACGAAAAUGAUAAUGAAAGUUUAGGAAUACAACACAAUGGAACACUUCAACCUUGCUUAAAAACUCAAGAAGAUUAGAAAAAUGUAGAAAUUUGAACACCUUUGAGAGCAAAGAGCACUUGAGCACAACUUGAAAAACUUGGAAGCUUAAAAGCUUUUUGAAAGUUGUGAAAAUGAGGAGCUCAAAGUGGAGAUUUGAAAUUAUAUUUGUGUGGUUGGUGUUUGCAAUGGAUAUACCCCCUCUAUUUAUUGCAUUGGUCACUUGAUCUCCACCAUUAGAUCUUCAUUCAAUGGUUCUUUAAUUUCUCACUAAAGUCUAAAAUAUGUUGGAGAUUCUCUUUGUCAACUCUCUUUGUUCUAUGUAAUUAUUCUUUUCAUUCCAUGCAAACCUUUUUUUUGUUCUAUGUAAUUUUUCUCUUUAUCUCAUGCUAAGCUUGUAUUAUUUCCAUGCUAAUAUUGUGCAUUGAACAAAGAUAAAGAUUAAGAAUAGUCAAUGGUAAUUAGAAUAAUUAAUUCACACAUGGCAAGAUAUUAACUUGUUGACCACGAAAUUAGGAUUUUGACUUUUAACUUUAUUUUAUACAUGAUCAAAUAAUUAUAGGGUUUAAUAUGAGCCUAAUUGAGAUUAGGUUCAAUUUAAAUUCAAUUCACCCUAUUGAAUAACAACAUGAUUAAGGUUAAUUUAAACAUGAUUAGGAUUAAUUUAAACAUGAUUAUCAAUACUAUUAUGUAUCGACAAUUUAGAUUCUACAAUAUCAACUAGUAUGCUUUUGAUUAUCAAGAUGUUAAAGGAAGUUUAUUCCAUCCUACUUUACCCGACUUCAUUCGAAAUAGGCCUUUUUGAAACUGCUUUCCUAAGGUAGUUCGUUUUAAACUAUUUAGCAUCAUCAAUUAGUAUUCUUAACUUGCACACUUGAUUUUACAGUUUAGUAUGUCGGAAAUUGAUCAAUUAGAAUCGUUUUAUGAAGGUUAGUAUCAAAUUUACACAAAUCUCGAUAUUGUUUUAUUAAAUUUUAUUUGACAUAAUAUUUGGAUAAUAGGUGAUUGGAAACAAAUAAAUAAUUAUGAAAAUGUUCAUAAGAAUAGAAAAUGAUGAGGACCGAAAUAUCCCACCAUCGCUCGCGGUGGUGCGAACGGUCGUCUUCUCGUACUGGAGCUAGACUUUGAACUCUACAAAAGCUACUCUACGUCAAGUCUUCGGAGGAGGAAUCAAUGAUUUUUGCUCUGUAAAAGUCGUUCUGAAAUGUGUGGAACCGAUGCCUUAGAUGUGCUCCGAGGGUCACAUUUUAUAGGCCUCAGGAGACGUCAUAUGUGAUGGAGAUCACGCCCGGGUCAUAAUGGCGCCCAGACUGGUCGCAAGUAACAUUCCAAAAUCGAUGAUUUGGGGUGAAACCAGUGAGUUGAGGGAUAAAAUCGUCAGUCUUCCAGACUCUGACGAUUUUCUCCUCAAAUCGUCGUCUGGGUCUGCCAAAUCGCCGAUUUGGAGAGUUUACUUGGAUCUUGACAAAGACUAUCAGUCCCGCUUCCGUAGGAGCCUUCCGGGGGUCUGAUAGAAAGAGAACUGAACCCUAAUUCAAUUCCUAAUGAUGGGAAGGACUGGUGUACAUUCUUCCUGUGUCAGCAGUAUUCCCCUCGAAAAUAGGGGUAUGUGACAGGGCAUGUACCGUCAGUACCCCCCAAACAGGAUUUGUAACCUGCAAGGAAAAUAUGUUGAAAUCCAUGGCGAUGGAUUUGAUUCUGGUCAUAAAAACAUGAUUGUAUAUUUUCUAUCCGCAACAACGGAAAUCCAUAGGGAGUGAUUUGAUUCUGACCGUAGCGAUAAAAUUAUUUAUUUUCGAUCCACGGCGAUGGAUACUCCAUAGCGAUGGAUUUGAUUCUGAUCGUAACGAAUAAAUUAUUUAUCUUCGAUCUGCAACGAUGGAUUUGAUUCUGACCGUAGCGACAGAAUUAUUUAUUUUCGAUCCGCAACGACGGAUAAUCCAUAACGAUGGAUUUGAUUCUGACCGUAGCGACAGAAUUAUUUAUUUUCGAUCUGCAACGAAGGAUAAUCCAUAACGAUGGAUUUGAUUCUGAACGUAGUGACAGAAUUAUUUAUUUUCGAUCCGCAACGACGAAUAAUCUAUAACGAUGGAUUUGAUUAUGGUCGUAGAGACAUAAUUAUUUAUUUUUGAUCUGCAACAACCGAUUCGUUCUAGUUAUAUCAAUACAAUAAAAAAAAUCUGAUAUAUGUAAUAACGCAUUCGUUCUAGCCGUAGCGAUAGAACGAUACCUGCAAAAAUGAAAAAUCUACAACGUAAAAAUAUGGAAUAAUUGAACUUACCGUACGAUUUACCUUCCGUGCUACUCUCUCCUUUUGCUCGAUAAUUCGGCCGUAGCGACGGAUUUAUUUCAUACUUUCGUGUUUUUGAUCGUAUUGACGGAAACACUAAUUAGCUUGCGAUACUCCCUUCUAAAAUCCUAUCGAAGCGACAGAUUCUAACGUUUCCGGUCGAAGCGAUGGAAACGUUUUGAGAGCUUGCAAGACUCCCUCCUUUUGAACGAUAAUCUGUCCAAAGCGACAGAUAUAUUAUUAUAGUUUUGAGAGCUUGCAAUACUCUCUCUUUUUGGACGAUAAUUCGACCAGAGCGACGGGUGUGUUAUUAUAGUUUUGAGAGCUUGUGAUAUUACCUCCUGGAAUUGAAGACUUGGUGUUAGAAUCGCCGAUUUCUACAAAGGAGGUAACUUGUGAAGAUUUGGAGAUAUUCCCUCUGAAGUCGGCGAUUUUGUGACUAAAUCGUCGAUUCACAUAUGAUUUAGGAAGAUCUUCGAGGAUCCAAGGGUAUAUUCGCAAAUUUUUCAGUUUCUGAAAUAAAAUAUUUGAUUUUCCGAAUAUUUACCUGAAAGCGACGAUUUGGGUAUUAAAUAGAAGAUUUUCCCUUGUUUAGGUAAUAAAAUAUUCGAAAAAUAUUCAGAGAUAUUUUUUUGUAAUUUUUGAAUUUUACUGGGGGUUUUGCAAUUUUUCCAAAGACUAUAAAUAUGGGUUGGAUUAUUUUAAUUCCCACUUUCUUAAUCCUCCAAAAACCCUAGAGCAAAUUAUCGAUUUCUCCUGUUUUUUUUCAAAUCGCCGAUUUGCAAUGUCAUCUCCCCUAAACUUUAGCCCCGUUCAAAAGUUCUCGAAAUCGUCGAGUCCAACUCAGAGCGAUGCGAUCAACCAAGUUGAAUUGUCGAUUUCCUCGUUCGAUGAGGAUUCGCCUCAAAGCGUUUGGAAGUCAAUGAGUCCUUGUUGUUGGAUUACCGACUGGGCCAGUUGAGACCGAGCAAAUGCUGACGGAAGCUCGACGUAUGUUGAGUUUUAGCUCCUCCGAGAAAUCUUAAAAAAUAAAAAUUCCAUUUGCACCCAAGUUUUAGGUCUGUGUAGAAGUGAUAGAGGUGACCAGUAGCGUAUCCAGGAUUCCCCGAUAGGGGGACAAGAUUCGUCGAAGGCGAAAAAUUUUUUUUGUACUAAUUAAAAAACCUAUACAAAUUUUGGCAUGACCUAUUCAUAUAAUUGAUUAUAAAAACCUAUAAAAAAUCAAUACAUUCAUUAUAUAAUUAAUAUUCAAUACAUUAAUUAAUAUUCAAAUUAAAAAUAAAUACAUUCAUUUAAUUAACAAUAAAAAUUUCAAAUACAUUUUACAUUACUUCAAUGUCCUACGACGAAGACACAUAUCAUUAAAUAUUUUUAAAAUAACUUCGUUGUCUAUAGUUUUAAAAAUAUCUUUCUCGAUAUAUGUUACUAAACAAUCAUUCAUCAAACUAUCACCAAAGCGAUUUCUGAGACGAGUUUUAAUGUGGGAAUCACAUUAAAGAAAUAAAUAAAAUGGUUCCUCUUUAAUUAAUUAAAGAAAUAAAUAAAAUUCACAUGGAUAUUUAAUCAAUUUAGGUUCCUGUUUUAAAAAAUCACAUGGAAUGAUGAAAAUUCAUAUUUUUUCAGGUUGAUGAUAGUUCAAUUCAAUUUUUUGCAAAUGGUUUAUUAUCCUGUUUUAAAAUGGUACAUUUUUUUCCGGAUCAAGCUAGGUUAAACACAAACGGAUCAAGAAUUCAAGAUAGACGGACAUACCUAGAGCCUAAAGGCUAGAGAGUAGCGGAGACUGGACUCUAGAGAGUGGAGACGAACUGAAGGCAGUGGAAUCCGAUGGUGGUGGUGUCCUGUGGGCUGUGGCACAAUAACUGAAUCUCGAUGGACGGUGGUCAGAAUGUGAGAGCUUGACCGGUUGACCCUGAGAUGAUCGUGAGGUGGAUGGGAGGAGGAGAGAUUGGGGGAAGUCGUGAGUUUUGGGGAAGGAGAUUGGGGGAAACAAGAUUGAAGGAAAUUAGAUGGGGGAAACGAGAUUGGAGGAUGGGGGGAAAAUGAGAUUGGGGAAAUAAUAUUGGGGAGAUUUUGGGAGAAAUCGUGGGUUUUGGGGAUAUUGGGGAUAUUGGGGAAAUUUGGAGGAUAUUGGGGAAAUAUCGUGGGUUUUGGGUUUGGGGGAGAGGUUUAGGGAUUUAGAAAUUUGGGGGAGAGGUUUAAGGAUUUAGAAAAUUUGGGGAGAGGUUUAGGGAUUAAGAAGAUUUGGGGGAGAAAUUUAGGGAUAUUUAAGUUUUUAGGGAUUUAUAUGUAAUUAAACUUAAAAUUACAUAUAUUGUAAAAUUUAUAUAAUAUAUAAAUAUUGUGAAAUUUAUAUAUUAACCCUUAAAAAAAUAUUAAUAUAUUGUGAAAAUUACACUUAACCCCCUAUAAAAAAUUUAAUUACAUAUAGGUCCUCGGAUAUUUUCCAAAUUUUAGGGGGGGGCAAUUGCCCUCCCUUGCCCCCCCUGGAUACGCCCCUGGAGGUGACUGAGUAUGGUGGGCAUGAUUGGGGUAAGCCUUGAGGACUUUAGUCUAUAUCAUACCAUGGAUAACCUACAUUCAAGAUCGACCUAAUUCAUCUUUGGUUGUAUCAUACCAUGGAAAUUUAAAUAUCAUCCCAAAUAUCAUAUUAACGAGUGCAUGUAUUUUUAUCUCUACAUGGUCUUUCUCACGUUUAUAAAUAUUUUAUUUGUUUCGAUUGAAUUAUGAUAUUUAAAUUAAUAUAUCAAAAAAUUAAAAACAGUUAAAACAGUUAAUAAACAAAUCAUUAUGAAACACUAUCAAAAUAUGCGAAAGAGAAGAAUUAAAUUACUAUAGUCAACAAAAAACAAAGGGAGAUAACACUACAAAAAAAGACAUUGUUUGAUGACCUUUUGAUGGCAGAAAUCCGCCAUCAAUAAUUCAGUUCUUUUGAUGGCGGAUAUUCGUCAUCAAUUGUUUGAGUCCGUCGAGAAAAGGCUUGGGCUCGAUGGCGGUGUUUAGAUGGCGGAUUUCCAUCAUCUAAAAAGUCUCGCCCAAAAUUUCAAAAUCCCUCCCAAAAUGAACCCGAUUACCCGAUUAAAUUGACUUAACGUGACGGAUGUCCGCCAUGUUAAGUUUUCGGGGAAUCGGGCGGAAAACGCCUAACUCUUUUAUAAUAGUCUCUUUUGACACAGGUAGAUUAGUCUAACUGGUCACAGUAACUAACUAUUAAAGUUGUUGAUGGUUCAUGGUUUUAAUCUUUCUAUGUACGUAAUUUUGAUUUAAUUUUCACUACGAGUUAAAAUGUAACUGAUGAUAUAUUAUAUGACUCUGAUAUAUUAUCCAGAGGUAGAUUUUUCUAUUUGUAAAAUAUUUCUCUGAAAAAAAAACAAUAACCCAAGCCAGGGUCUCUCAUUUGCGACCUAGUAAACCAUACAUUAAUUAAACGUGAGACCAACCAACUAGAAAUAAUGAAACGUGAGACCAACCAACUAAAAAUAAUGAUACGUGGGAACAACCAAUCACUAAUGAAGAAAUUAUCGAUAUAUAUACACUGCUUGUUCCUUCCUCUAAUCGUAUCAUUCUUAUCAAUAAUCGUCUUUCGGUAAGUUGUAAUUAUAUUCAUGACUAUAACUAACUACUUGCUACUGAGUUUAGCAAUCGUGUUUAUAGUGAGUACGACUUCGACUGCUAGAAUUUUGAAUGAAGAAGGUAAGAAGAAUGAAAAUGAAUCAGAGAAUUAUGGUUCUUAUGCUGUUCAGGGUGAAAAUGGUAAAAAGAAUCUAGAGAGCACUCCAUAUGUUCCAGAGUCGUCUCUACCCCCACCAUAUGUUCUGGAGUCGUCUCUACCCCCACCAUAUGUUCCGGAGUC
rnacentral:lncRNA from 1 species